CUAACACUGGUCACUAGGGUAUAGGUUUCACAGUUACCCAAAAGCAACAAUUGAACAUUUGCAUUAUAGACUAAAUUUUGAUCUCAACAAGUCUAGACAAAAAUUUCACCACAGCUUGAAAGAGCAUCACAAAAUUAGUAAUAUUCCAAAGUUUCGCUGCGAAAUGUUGUAAAAUGCGGAUAAUAUAGCCUUGCGAAGUUUGCCGUUUUUCAGUCAUUUUCUAUUACAAACGGGAAAUUGA